GGGUUGUGAGGUUAAGCGACUAAGCGUACACGGUGGAUGCCCUGGCAGUCAGAGGCGAUGAAGGACGUGCUAAUCUGCGAAAAGCGUCGGUAAGGUGAUAUGNAACCGUUAUAACCGGCGAUGUCCGAAUGGGGAAACCCAGNUGCAAUUCGUUGCACUAUCGUUAACUGAAUACAUAGGUUAACGAGGCGAACCGGGGGAACUGAAACAUCUAAGUACCCCGAGGAAAAGAAAUNCAACCGAGAUUCCCCCAGUAGCGGCGAGCGAACGGGGAGCAGCCCAGAGUCUGAAUCA
rnacentral:rRNA from 1 species